CGGCUAGCAGCGUUUCGGGGC
rnacentral:miRNA from 1 species